AAAGACAUUAAGUUCAGAGCAGCCCCGGACUGCGGAUCUAGCCUUUCUCCCUCUAGUCUCCAGACCCACUCAGCUCCAGGCAGCGGAGCAGAGACAUUGGAGUCCCGGAGCGCCGCUCAGGCCGGGCCACCAGGUUACAGAAUCACAACUCCAUUCAGGUCAGCUCCGCGAAGUGCUGUGAAGAAGCAGCAGCGUUCUUGGAUUCUUUGCUGAGACAGAAGGAAACGCAUUUCUUUGGAGGAGCAUGACAUUUUCUACGUCGCUUCCUAUCCCUGUCACUGAACUUCCUGAAUCCUGGCCCCAGACACCAUCAAGAGGACCUUCUGGAUAGCCUACCUAUCCCCUGAGAGAGGAGGAACAUCAACUGUGGUUUCUAACUAGACUGCCUUCUUCAUUUCAAGUAAUGGCUGCCAUCAGGGUCAGAUUAAAGACAGACCAGUUGGACCACUGCUUGGAGGACUAACCUAUAAGGGCACCAAAAUGACCACAGAGUGCUAAAACAUUCACAGAAAUAUACAGAGAGGAAAACAAUACUAGCACUUAUUUUAGGGAGAAUUCUGUGUGGAAUUGGAAGGAAUGGUUCGAUAAAUUCCUUAGGGGUAGAAAGUAAGGCAUAAUCAAAUAUAGAGGAGCAUGGAGUUGUUUUACUACAGGGCUUCUGUUUGUCCUAUUCAGAUAUAUAAUUUGGGUGCCCCAUCUGGAUUGUUUGUGACCAUGGAGGGUAGGCAGACACCCUCACUGGUCCUCUGGCUUGGUUCUUCCCCACGCAGAGCUCAGCUUGUCCUUGAAUAAAGAUUUGGCAAGUAGUGGUUUUAUGGAAACACCAAUUUAUUUAUUAGCCUACAUGUCUCGACAUUCUAGGGCUUGAAAAUGAAAACAUAAUCAGACUAUCUUCCAGUUCUAGGAUGUUAGCCCUUAGUAUGUCUUCAUUCAUUUGAGGGCAAAGAUGAACCAACACAGUAGAUCAAGUCAAAUGGAGCCUGAAUUCCCUGCUUAUGGGCUGGAUGAUCAGCCUCUGUGUCAAGUUAAUUUAAUCAGUGGAGACACUAGGUAGAGCUGAGAUCUUUAAAAAUAUUUGGCUGAAGGGUGAUAUUAUUGAUUAUUUGUAGAUGAAGAUGUCAAGGAACAUUCAUAGAAUCAUGAAAAAUGGAACUGCGGGUCACAUUAAAAAAAUUCAACAAGUAGUUAAGUAUCUACUGGACACUGGAGACAGGUGUAAGAUAGAUAUGGUUCCAGGGCAUCUGGGUGGCUCAGUUGGUUUAGCAUCCAACUCUUGAUUUUGGCUCAGGUCAUGAUCUCAAGAUUGUGAAAUUGAACCCCGCAUUGGGCUGCACUGAGCUUGGAGCCUGCUUGGGAUUCUCUCUCUUCUUCUCCCUCUGCCCCUACGUGGCUCUCUAAAUGAAUGAAUGAAUGAAUGAAUAAGAUAAACAUGUUUCUUACAUUCUAGCUUUCUCUUGGAUGUGAAGAGCAGUGGCCACAGCAAACAAAUGGACACAAUGAUAUUCCUGAGUCAAGGAUUACAGUUGUUAUAGCAAUUCUUAUUGCCUUAAUCCAGCCUAGUGAGCACCCAUUUGUAAGACCUGUAAGUCUGCAUUCUGUAAUUGCUCUGUGAACCUGCCUAGACUGUUUCUCUAGCAAGCUGUAUAAAAUCCCAUGGUACCAGAGGAAGGGGUUAGGUUUAGUUAGGGCUUCUGGGGGAGAGAGAUAUCAAGUGAUAUGGGUCAGAAAAUAUGAAGGGAUAGAAUUUGGGAAGCAGCUAUUGCUUCUGUCUGAUGUGGAGAAAUUGCAUGAUGAAAAAUGUUAGGCUGGGAACUCUGAGACCCAGAUCUUUAUUUUAAUACUAAUGAGCCAUGUGACUGUGGGCAAGUCAUAUCACAUUCCAUUUGGAGGCCUCUUAGGUGAUCUAAGACCCCUUCCAGCUCUAAAAAUGCUAACAUCAGGUCCCAGUCUACUGGACAACUGCCCAGUUUCUAACUCAACUUAUCUUAAGCUGAUAGGUCAAGUAAAUCUGCAAUACCACUUGACUGAGUUUUUGUUUUUGUUUUUGUUUUUUGGAGGAGUAUUUAUCAACCUUAUAGAAAACAAUGAAUCUGGGGCACCUGGGUGGCUCAGAUGGCUGGGUGGCUCAUCUACCUUUGGCUCAGGUCAUGAUCUCCGGGUCCUGGGAUAGAGCCCCAUAUCUGGCUCCCUGCUCCCAGGGGCCUGCUUCCCACCUCCACCUCUCCCCCUGCUUGAACUCUCUGUGCCUCUCUCUCUCUCUCAGAUGAGUAUAUAAAAUCUUAAAAAAAAGAAAAAUGAAUACAAUGGGUCUGCUUAGGAGUUGAGUAGGUCCUAGAAACAUUCCCUGUAGAGCUCACAGAGGAUUUACCCUCCUCUACUCUUUCUCCCAUCUGUGCCUUUCUCCCUCUCUUUUCCUUGAUCACACUUCCACUGAGCAUAUACCAUGUGGAACAUACCAGGUGUGUGCUAGGUUUGGAGAUACAAGCUAAACCUGACAGUUUCCCCCACUCCAGAAGUGUUCAUAGGAGAGGGUACAAAACCCUCCUUCCUUUCAUCUGCUGGCUUUUCUUUUGGUGAGGAUCACCCAUGUCUUAAGGGACUGGAAGCCCCACCAGGGUAACCAGUUAAAGGCAGAUGACCCAUGCUUCUCAGGCAAUUCUGAGGUGCCUUGACAUCCACCUCUAUGUAAUCACUUAGGCCCAGGGUUACCAUGAAAAGAUCUAUGUUCAUAUAUAAGGAAGAGACAAUCAUUUACUUCUUGGAAUAAAUCUGUAGAGGGACAGCCCUCCAUACGGUGAUGGCCACUGUCUGCAACCAUCUCUGCUCAGAUAGGGAGAAUCCAGGUGACUAUGUACUAAACGUUAAAAAAACUUCUUUCAAUAAAUAGACAUCUUUCAUGUAUACUGUGCUUCAUAUAUUCAUUAUAGCUGGUGACCUCUUUAAAUACAUAUAGUUUCUCUCUUUCAAGAUCAGAAGGCUGAUAGGACUUUGAAGAGGAACAAAGGGCUUGGUAACCCACAUAAGUGGAAAGUUGACCCUGCAAUAAUUGACAGCAUAUUCAAAUAUUUCAGUGAGCGUUACUCCCAUUAAGCAAAAGCAGUAUCAGUAAAUUUACAUGACUCUAAACAUUCUAAUGAAAAAGGCACAUUCUUUUUCUUCCUUAUGUGCUAAAGAAACUGUAGUAGAAAAGGAAACAUUCUGUGGGCCAUCUCCGAUUUCUAAAUAUGUGGUUACUGGUCCUUAUGAAGGACAAAAACUACAUAUGAUGGGAUGGUCUUUCCAACUCCGAUUUGCAUAACCUGAAGUCUUAUAGCUCCAGGCACUGAACUCAAAGCCAUUUGUUUUCUUUAUCCCUUUGGAAGAAAAUAAAAAUCUUAUUUUUCCAAGCAAUUAAAACCCUUCUGCUUCAGCUAGGAUGAAAGAAUUAGGAGUUCUGUCUCCUUGUACAUAAUUGCAUGUUUCAUCUUUGUUGUUUAAUGAUUGACAGAAAACUGAUAAACUGAGACAUCUCUGAAUCAGGGUUGAAUGUACUGUCUUGGUGAGCUCCAUUGCUAAUUUGUUUGACUAUUUUUUAGCAUUUCUUACUGUGUAAUAGAAAGGUUUAUUAAAUAUGAGGGGUGCAAAGCUUUCUGAAUACUAAUGAACUUAUUUGCCAAAACUUAAGUGUUCCUUCUUUUCAGUGAAUGCCUGUCUCAUUUAACAGGAUCCAAAUUGAAUAAUGAAGAAAAUUAGACUAUACCGUACCCUCCAGAGACACUGUGUGUGAACUGUGAAUGAAUAGUGAGGGAAGAAAGAGGUCAUAUUUAUAAAAAAAAAAAAGAGUAGAUGAUUUGGAUCUUCUAAGAAAGGAUUAACUCAGAGAAAUCCACUUGUUUUCAAAGAAAUAUACUCAUAGUAAUUUAAUGAGCAGGAUUUCCCACUGCACAAGUGGGUACCUUGUUCCUUACCUUUGUCGAACUUAAAAUGAGAGUGAAGUCAUAAUCAUAUGGCAAUGCAUGCUAGGUUUCAAUGGUUACAAUUUACUAACUUUAUCCCAGUGUAAGGCACCCCAUACCUGUGAUGGAAUGAACACAGAUCUCUAGAGGAGUAUAAUAGGGAGAUGCAGUUUGAGAAAUUGCCCCAAUGCUUCCUUUUAGAGCAAUGCAAUGAGGCUAUCCCUUGAUUGAUAUCUUUACUUCCAUUGCCUUUGUGUUAUUAAUAAAGUUGAUCAGGAUCCCCUUCUCUUGCCAGCAUGUGAAGGGCACUGCAGGAGCAAGAUGGCUGCCCUCUAGGCAAGGGACACAGGCUGGGAGAACUUCAGCAGCCACACAAACUGUUAAAUAUGGUCAGGAACAGACUGUAUGGAUAAAUUAAAGUGAUCGAGGGAAAGUGAACGAGAAUAUGAAGAUGAGACUGUGGAAAGCCAGGAAUUCAUUCCUGUCAGAAUUUGAAUAGGAAGAUAACCACUGGAAAAGAAGGAGGUAAGGAGGGACCCUAAGGUAGAGAAAAUAAAGAGAAGAAUGGAUGUUUCCAGAGCUUGUUAAAAUUAAUGAUCCUGAGGUUUCAGGAGGAAGAAAGGAAGAUCAAGAAAAAGAGAAGUCUCUGAAGCCUGUGAAGUUUCAAAAACAAAACACAAUUUUUUUUUUAACUAAAAUCAUACUCUUCUUAGAAAAGAGGCUGAACAUUAACAGAAAGUUUGAUGACAGUGGGUUUGUAGUUAGGAAUUUACUUUUAAUCUCCAAGAGAAGUGUUACGUGACAAAGAUUCAAAAGACUAUGUGUUUUUUUGGCUAUCAUUCAGGGCAUCAGUAGAAAGGGGGAAAAAGAAUGGUCAAUGCAUCUCAGAUAAAUACCAACAAACUGUGCAAUAUUUCAUUUGAGAUUUGUAUUCUCCCCAAUUAAGUUUGGAAAAAAGAGAGAGAGAGGAGGGGAGGGGGCAGAGAGACGUAGUGUAUUUGAUUGCCUCUGUGGGAAGACUUGAGAAUUACAAACUUGAAUGUUUGUAACUCAACAUUCCUUACUCCCUUGAAGUGAAAAUUCGCUAUUAAAAAUUAAGUAAAUAGAGAGUCUGGGGACAUUAAGAUUCUUCGCCAUCAUUUCAAAUCAUGAUCUGCUCCCUCGGAAAAAAAAAGAAGCUGGGACUCGGAAAGUAGGGAGGCGAGGGGAAAGGGACUGAUGCGGGAAGGGGAAUGAAUACUGCAAACCCAGUAAGACUAUACAGUUCGUGGGAAAAUGAAAUGAACAACAGAGUUUGAAGGAUAAGCAGAUAAUGAGGAAUGUGAGAUAAGACGACAUUUAUAGGUUUACUUAUUUAUUUGAGAAAGAGAGAGCGAGCGAGCUGGAGCGGGACAGGUGGGCAGAGGGGAAGGGAGGGAGAGAAUCCCAAGCAGACUCUUGCUGAGUGCAGAGCCUGAGGUGGGGGCAGGGGCUGCUCCAUGCGGGUUCCAUGCCAGGAUCCAUCCCACAACCCCAAGAUCAUGACCUGAGCCGAAAUCAAGAGGUGGGCGCUUAACUAUCUGAGCCACCCAGGUGCCCCAAGAGAUAAAAAGACAUUUAAACAUUGGGAAAUUACUAAGGAAAGUGAGAAGGAAUGAGGAAUUAAUGUGGAAAUGUGAGGAAAGGAGGAAGUAACUGGAAUGAGAAACAAAAUGUGGCUAAUGGCUGUAAAGGACAAGUUUGGACUCUCAAUGGCAUGUUCCUUAACCUUUGGAGAGCACACACGACCUAGAAAUAAAAGAGAAAAAGAUGGAAAGAGUUCACGGUUAACACGAAAUCAUGAGGACAAUAAAAGAAGCAAUGUGCAUCAUCAGUCCUCAAGAACAAAAGCAUUUCUAGAGAACUGUAUGAGUCUAUGUUCUCCGUUCUUCUAUGAGCGCAAUCCUCUGCAUCUUUUACAAAAGGUUGAUUUAUGAAAUGAGUGCUAUUAAAGAAAAUAAAAGAUAAGCUUUAUUAAGAGAAGUUGAAGAAAAGAUUACACCUAAAACAACUGAAGUGGGGACUCAGCAAGCAAAAAAAUGUGAAAUGUGGCCACUCCAGGAGAGAACUGAAGAUAACGGAUUCAAAUAGCAAUGCGGGCAGCGACAAGGAAGGAAGUUGUAACUGUUGUAAAUAUUUUAGAAUAUAUUUUUCCACAACAGUUUUUUUUUUCUUCUUAGAAUGACUGAGAUUAAGCUAAAAGCUUCUGGGUAUUGCUUUAAACACUGGAUGAGAGGAUUUAUAGCAAUUCAAGUAUUCCCAAUAGUAGAAAUAACAUUAAUUUUUCAAGACGACUAAUAUCUGGAACAGAUCUAAAUGCCUGUGAUUAUCCUUUGCUUUCUUGUGUUUGUGCAGGGGAUUCCUUUCAGCCAGACAGUACCAGACCCCCUUCGGAGGGAAGCUGAUAAAGUAAUUUAGGUGGAAAGGCCUAAUGAGAUAAUGAUGCUAAGGCCAGUUAACACCUAAUAAGAACAUAACCACCAGGGAUGAUAUUGUUGCUUAUUAAUUAUAAUGAUGAUGUGGAGGAAAGAGACAAGGUGGCACUCAUUUAGCAGAGAGCACUCAGGAGUAAAGCUGUUUUCCCAAAGGGCAAGAUGCAGUCAGUUCGAGUUAGAAGUAGGGCAACAUUUAGCAGAGUUGGAAAUUUAUGGCCAUUGGGUUAUCCUGGUGACCGCAGAACUGGAGGCCAAGUAGGAGGCAACAGACGCCUUCCUGAGGUGACCCUGGGCCGGAGUGGAGAUUGCUGUGGUUGAGGGUCAGGCCAGGCACGGAGGCAGAGACUCCAGGCUGAUUUUUGGGGGCAGUCUGCUUGCCUUAGAUUCCACAGUGGUCAUUCGUGGGCAGACGGGCUGGUGUCCAGAACUAGACUGGGCGGCCUUUCCCUUUCCACUCCGCUCGGUCCUGUGAAUCAGACCCAUGAUGCAACUCUUCAGUCAGGGCUGGAGCCUUGUACUAUCGGGAGAGUCCAGAAGAUCCUCUGGUCCUGUAUCUAGAGGCGCAGAUCUAAUUUAAGGUUGCUUGGUGUUCAUCUGCCUCUGCUCUGUUUCCUAAAUUCUCUGUGGGUCUGGGCACCUGUGUGUUCACCCAGGACAGGGGAAUUGUAGGAUCAGUUCACUGCAGAUAUACCAUCUGUAUUAAUCACAUGGCAGGAGUCAAGAAUGUGAGGAAGAAACAGCCAUGUGAAAAAACAUGGAGCUUUUGGAAAUCUUGUGAGUCCUUAAGGGAGGCGAAGAAACUGGAAAUUCAGGACCAGGUUGGGGGGAGCAGAUUUGCGACCCAGGAACGACCCUGAAACUCCCUUUCCUAUUCACAUCUUUCCCCUCACCACCUGGGUCUUGAUCUGGAUCUGGAUCCUACACCCUAUGCCAUCAUCACUCACUUCUCUCUGGGUCUGGGGACACCACAUCUGCAAUGAUGGGGGUGGUUUUCCACACCUUUCUUUAUUAGCUGCACGAAUGCCAUUUCACAGGAUUUUUCUUGUUCUGUCAUAGAAAGGAAAUAACAUUCUCAUCAUUAAUUUGUUAAAGCAAGUAUAUUUAAUUUUUAUUAAAUGUGUGGUUUGUGAAUGGCAAGAAGUGAAAAGAGAUGAACUGGAAGACAGAAAGUGUACCUCUAGUCCUGGCCCUUAUCCAUAUCAGCCCUGUAACCCUGGGUAAAUCUCUUGCUUUUAUGAGCUUCAGCUUCCUUGUACAUAAAGCGAAGGGUUGAUAAGGGUAAUCUUUAGGGUUUUACAGCCAUUUCCAGCCUUCAAAUUCUAUACUUAUGUAUGUAUGUUCAUAAGAAUCCUUCUAUUGUAUCUUUAUGAGAAAAGCAAUUGGUAAACUCCUAGGGUGAUAAAUAUUGCCUUAAAUCCGUAAUUCAGAGUGAACAAUAAAGGUUGAGGUUACCAAUGAGCGGCAGAACUAUUUUUUGAGCACUAACUAUGUGGCAGCCACAUGCCAACCUUAAAGGCAGGUAAGUAAGGCGUUACAGGUGAGCAAACAAAGGCUUCAGUAAUUGAAAUAGGAUCAUUCAAGAUCAUUUAGUUAAUAAGGGGGUGGAGCCAACAUUCCAACCCAGGUUUCCCUAAAAUGGAAACCUUUGACCUGGAUCCUCACUGUGUGUAUCCUCCUCAAUUUAGAACCCAAUACUGGGUUGUCCCAUACCUGAUGGCACCGAAGUUUUCUUCAGUCACAGUUGUUCUUAAUAGUGGAUGGAAGGAAGAGCAAGGUAGGGAACGGUCUGAAAAAUGUCCCCAGUUGAUUCUCAUACACACAUCUUUGUGCCUCCGCAUGCCCUUUGAGACCUCACCCAGGCAGAGUCAUACCAACAUAAUUACAGAAACGAUGCCUUCCUGGGAAACCUGCUGCCCCGUGCAGUUCUCAUUUCUAUUUCUCUCAACAUGGCUUUGAGGUAGGCAAGGGAAUCGGACACAAUUAUUUCUCCUGUCUUCCACGUGGGAAACUGAAAAAAAGAGAAUUGAUCAAUGCAACUUCAUGCACCCAGUGGUCACAGAACUGACAUGAGGGCUCACACCUUAAACUCCAGCCACCACAAGACACUGUCUUUUAGCCAAUUCUAUUAAUAAUGUAUUUUACAUAAAGGAAAUAUGUCAUUUUGUUCCCCCUUGGAGUUUCCAAGUAGAUGUAUCAUUCUGGUGACAUUGUUUUAUUUGGAAUAUCUGUGAAAUCAGCGAGCAUCUCUGAAUAGCACCAGCUGAAGAGCCAUUGACAAAAACCAAAUGGAGGAGAAGGGUUUCUUAGCCAGGAAUUUCUAUGAACAAAAAAGUGACUUUCUAAACUUUUGCUGACUGGUCCCAGAAAAGUGCCUCAUCAAGGUCAUUAAGAAUGUCUAGGUACCCAGAAUAGAGAGAGGCUCUUCAUUGUUCAUAUUCUUUUAAAGUAAUACAACAAAUUUGUUGUUGUUGUUGUAAAUAAGAAUUGCUGGCAUCUAGAAUUCUAAUUGCUUUUCAAGAAUUUAUUUUAAAGAUUUAUUUAUUUAUUUAUUUAUUUGAAGCACAGA